rnacentral:rRNA from 1 species
GGUUAAGCGACUAAGCGUACACGGUGGAUGCCCUGGCAGUCAGAGGCGAUGAAGGACGUGCUAAUCUGCGAUAAGCGUCGGUAAGGUGAUAUGAACCGUUAUAACCGGCGAUUUCCGAAUGGGGAAACCCAGUGUGUUUCGACACACUAUCAUUAACUGAAUCCAUAGGUUAAUGAGGCGAACCGGGGGAACUGAAACAUCUAAGUACCCCGAGGAAAAGAAAUCAACCGAGAUUCCCCCAGUAGCGGCGAGCGAACGGGGAGCAGCCCAGAGCCUGAAUCAGUGUGUGUGUUAGUGGAAGCGUCUGGAAAGGCGCGCGAUACAGGGUGACAGCCCCGUACACAAAAAUGCACAUGCUGUGAGCUCGAUGAGUAGGGCGGGACACGUGGUAUCCUGUCUGAAUAUGGGGGGACCAUCCUCCAAGGCUAAAUACUCCUGACUGACCGAUAGUGAACCAGUACCGUGAGGGAAAGGCGAAAAGAACCCCGGCGAGGGGAGUGAAAAAGAACCUGAAACCGUGUACGUACAAGCAGUGGGAGCACGCUUAGGCGUGUGACUGCGUACCUUUUGUAUAAUGGGUCAGCGACUUAUAUUCUGUAGCAAGGUUAACCGAAUAGGGGAGCCGAAGGGAAACCGAGUCUUAACUGGGCGUUAAGUUGCAGGGUAUAGACCCGAAACCCGGUGAUCUAGCCAUGGGCAGGUUGAAGGUUGGGUAACACUAACUGGAGGACCGAACCGACUAAUGUUGAAAAAUUAGCGGAUGACUUGUGGCUGGGGGUGAAAGGCCAAUCAAACCGGGAGAUAGCUGGUUCUCCCCGAAAGCUAUUUAGGUAGCGCCUCGUGAAUUCAUCUCCGGGGGUAGAGCACUGUUUCGGCAAGGGGGUCAUCCCGACUUACCAACCCGAUGCAAACUGCGAAUACCGGAGAAUGUUAUCACGGGAGACACACGGCGGGUGCUAACGUCCGUCGUGAAGAGGGAAACAACCCAGACCGCCAGCUAAGGUCCCAAAGUCAUGGUUAAGUGGGAAACGAUGUGGGAAGGCCCAGACAGCCAGGAUGUUGGCUUAGAAGCAGCCAUCAUUUAAAGAAAGCGUAAUAGCUCACUGGUCGAGUCGGCCUGCGCGGAAGAUGUAACGGGGCUAAACCAUGCACCGAAGCUGCGGCAGCGACGCUUAUGCGUUGUUGGGUAGGGGAGCGUUCUGUAAGCCUGUGAAGGUGUACUGUGAGGUAUGCUGGAGGUAUCAGAAGUGCGAAUGCUGACAUAAGUAACGAUAAAGCGGGUGAAAAGCCCGCUCGCCGGAAGACCAAGGGUUCCUGUCCAACGUUAAUCGGGGCAGGGUGAGUCGACCCCUAAGGCGAGGCCGAAAGGCGUAGUCGAUGGGAAACAGGUUAAUAUUCCUGUACUUGGUGUUACUGCGAAGGGGGGACGGAGAAGGCUAUGUUGGCCGGGCGACGGUUGUCCCGGUUUAAGCGUGUAGGCUGGUUUUCCAGGCAAAUCCGGAAAAUCAAGGCUGAGGCGUGAUGACGAGGCACUACGGUGCUGAAGCAACAAAUGCCCUGCUUCCAGGAAAAGCCUCUAAGCAUCAGGUAACAUCAAAUCGUACCCCAAACCGACACAGGUGGUCAGGUAGAGAAUACCAAGGCGCUUGAGAGAACUCGGGUGAAGGAACUAGGCAAAAUGGUGCCGUAACUUCGGGAGAAGGCACGCUGAUAUGUAGGUGAAGCGACUUGCUCGUGGAGCUGAAAUCAGUCGAAGAUACCAGCUGGCUGCAACUGUUUAUUAAAAACACAGCACUGUGCAAACACGAAAGUGGACGUAUACGGUGUGACGCCUGCCCGGUGCCGGAAGGUUAAUUGAUGGGGUUAGCGCAAGCGAAGCUCUUGAUCGAAGCCCCGGUAAACGGCGGCCGUAACUAUAACGGUCCUAAGGUAGCGAAAUUCCUUGUCGGGUAAGUUCCGACCUGCACGAAUGGCGUAAUGAUGGCCAGGCUGUCUCCACCCGAGACUCAGUGAAAUUGAACUCGCUGUGAAGAUGCAGUGUACCCGCGGCAAGACGGAAAGACCCCGUGAACCUUUACUAUAGCUUGACACUGAACAUUGAGCCUUGAUGUGUAGGAUAGGUGGGAGGCUUUGAAGUGUGGACGCCAGUCUGCAUGGAGCCGACCUUGAAAUACCACCCUUUAAUGUUUGAUGUUCUAACGUUGACCCGUAAUCCGGGUUGCGGACAGUGUCUGGUGGGUAGUUUGACUGGGGCGGUCUCCUCCUAAAGAGUAACGGAGGAGCACGAAGGUUGGCUAAUCCUGGUCGGACAUCAGGAGGUUAGUGCAAUGGCAUAAGCCAGCUUGACUGCGAGCGUGACGGCGCGAGCAGGUGCGAAAGCAGGUCAUAGUGAUCCGGUGGUUCUGAAUGGAAGGGCCAUCGCUCAACGGAUAAAAGGUACUCCGGGGAUAACAGGCUGAUACCGCCCAAGAGUUCAUAUCGACGGCGGUGUUUGGCACCUCGAUGUCGGCUCAUCACAUCCUGGGGCUGAAGUAGGUCCCAAGGGUAUGGCUGUUCGCCAUUUAAAGUGGUACGCGAGCUGGGUUUAGAACGUCGUGAGACAGUUCGGUCCCUAUCUGCCGUGGGCGCUGGAGAACUGAGGGGGGCUGCUCCUAGUACGAGAGGACCGGAGUGGACGCAUCACUGGUGUUCGGGUUGUCAUGCCAAUGGCACUGCCCGGUAGCUAAAUGCGGAAGAGAUAAGUGCUGAAAGCAUCUAAGCACGAAACUUGCCCCGAGAUGAGUUCUCCCUGACCCUUUAAGGGUCCUGAAGGAACGUUGAAGACGACGACGUUGAUAGGCCGGGUGUGUAAGCGCAGCGAUGCGUUGAGCUAACCGGUACUAAUGAACCGUGAGGCUUAACCUU